CACGCAACCUACACAAAAUUCAGUUAUCUGCUAGCGAUAACUGAAUUUUGUGUAGGUUGCGUG
rnacentral:miRNA from 1 species